ACUCGAAGGACAAGAAGACCCUAUAGAGCUUAAUUUUACUUAUAGAGAAAUACUAUAUAAAUAUUCGGUUGGGGCGACCCCGGGCUAAAUAAUCACCCACUACGUAUAAGAUACAUUAAUCAAUUAAGUGACCCUAUAAAGAUCACAAGACCAAGCUACCUUAGGGAUAACAGGCUAAUCCCACUAAAGAGUCCUUAUCGACAGUGGGGGUUGGCACCUCGAUGUUGGCUUAGGAUAUCUAUAUAGCGCAAAAGUUAUAUAAAGAUGGUUUGUUCAACCAAUAACAUCCUACGUGAUC
rnacentral:rRNA from 1 species